GUGUUUCUAUGGAUGUGUAUGCACAUGUACAUAUGCAUAUAUGUGUCCUACAUGCACACAGACACAUAUAAG
rnacentral:miRNA from 1 species